rnacentral:rRNA from 1 species
GACAUAGGUCGCAAACGUUAUCCGGAAUUAUUGGGCGUAAAGGAUGCGUAGAUGGUUCAGUAAGUUACUGGUGGGAAAUCGAGGCCCAACCUCGUGGAAGUUAGUAAUACUGUUGAACUUGAGUGCAGGAGAGGUUAACGGAACUUCAUGUGGAGCGGUAAAAUGCGUAGAUAUCGUAAGGAAGACCAGUGGCGAAGGCGGGUCUCUGGACAGUUCCUGACGCUGAGGCACGAAGGCCAGGGGAGCAAACGGG